CCUGACAAAGCUAACCUUUCCGUGUGAAGGGGAUAGGAAGUAUUGGGUUUUAUGAAGGUAGAUGGCCGAACUGCCGAAA
rnacentral:ncRNA from 1 species